GACGAACGCUGGCGGCGCGCCUAACACAUGCAAGUCGAACGAGCGAGCGAGAGCUUGCUUUCUCGAGAGAGUGGCGAACGGGUGAGUAACGCGUGAGGAACCUGCCUCAAAGAGGGGGACAACAGUUGGAAACGACUGCUAAUACAGCAUAAGCCCCCGGGUCGGCCUCGACCAGAGGGAAAAGGAGCCAUCCGCUUUGAGAUGGCCUCGCGUCCGAUUAGCUAGUUGGUGAGGUAAUGGCCCACCAAGGCGACGAUCGGUAGCCGGACUGGGGGGAUGAACGGCCACAUUGGGACUGAGGCACGGCCCAGACUCCGGCGGGAGGCAGCAGGGGGGAAUACUACACAAGGGAGGAAACCCGGAUGCAGCGACGCCGCGUGGAGGAAGAAGGUCUUCGGAUUGUAAGCUCCUGUUGUUGGGGAAGAUAAUGACGGUACCCAAGAAGGAAGUGACGGCUAACUACGUG
rnacentral:rRNA from 1 species